CCUGAGGUAGCGGCGGACGGGUGAGUAACACGUGGGUAACCUGCCUGUAAGAGUGGGAUAACUCCGGGAAACCGGGGCUAAUACCGGAUGGUUGUUUGAACCGCAUGGUUCAGACAUAAAAGGUGGCUUCGGCUACCACUUACAGAUGGACCCGCGGCGCAUUAGCUAGUUGGUGAGGUAACGGCUCACCAAGGCGACGAUGCGUAGCCGACCUGAGAGGGUGAUCGGCCACACUGGGACUGAGACACGGCCCAGACUCCUACGGGAGGCAGCAGUAGGGAAUCUUCCGCAAUGGACGAAAGUCUGACGGAGCAACGCCGCGUGAGUGAUGAAGGUUUUCGGAUCGUAAAGCUCUGUUGUUAGGGAAGAACAAGUGCCGUUCAAAUAGGGCGGCACCUUGACGGUACCUAACCAGAAAGCCACGGCUAACUACGUGCCAGCAGCCGCGGUAAUACGUAGGUGGCAAGCGUUGUCCGGAAUUAUUGGGCGUAAAGGGCUCGCAGGCGGUUUCUUAAGUCUGAUGUGAAAGCCCCCGGCUCAACCGGGGAGGGUCAUUGGAAACUGGGGAACUUGAGUGCAUAAGAGGAGAGUGGAAUUCCACGUGUAGCGGUGAAAUGCUUAGAGAUGUGGAAGAACACCAUUGGCGAAAGGGACU
rnacentral:rRNA from 1 species